GUUGAUCCCCUUCGGGGGUGACGCUUGUGGAAUGAGCGGCGGACGGGUGAGUAACACGUGGGCAACCUGCCUGUAAGACUGGGAUAACCCCGGGAAACCGGGGCUAAUACCGGAUAAUACUUUCUUUUGCAUAAAGGAAAGUUGAAAGGCGGCUUCGGCUGUCACUUACAGAUGGGCCCGCGGCGCAUUAGCUAGUUGGUGAGGUAACGGCUCACCAAGGCGACGAUGCGUAGCCGACCUGAGAGGGUGAUCGGCCACACUGGGACUGAGACACGGCCCAGACUCCUACGGGAGGCAGCAGUAGGGAAUCUUCCGCAAUGGACGAAAGUCUGACGGAGCAACGCCGCGUGAGUGAUGAAGGUUUUCGGAUCGUAAAACUCUGUUGUUAGGGAAGAACAAGUACGAUAGUAACUGAUCGUACCUUGACGGUACCUAACCAGAAAGCCACGGCUAACUACGUGCCAGCAGCCGCGGUAAUACGUAGGUGGCAAGCGUUGUCCGGAAUUAUUGGGCGUAAAGCGCUCGCAGGCGGUCCUUUAAGUCUGAUGUGAAAUCUCGCGGCUCAACCGCGAACGGUCAUUGGAAACUGGAGGACUUGAGUACAGAAGAGGAGAGUGGAAUUCCACGUGUAGCGGUGAAAUGCGUAGAGAUGUGGAGGAACACCAGUGGCGAAGGCGACUCUCUGGUCUGUAACUGACGCUGAGGAGCGAAAGCGUGGGGAGCGAACAGGAUUAGAUACCCUGGUAGUCCACGCCGUAAACGAUGAGUGCUAGGUGUUAGGGGGUUUCCGCCCCUUAGUGCUGAAGUUAACGCAUUAAGCACUCCGCCU
rnacentral:rRNA from 1 species